UACGGCCAUAUCACGAUUAAACACCGGUUCCCUAACGAUCACCGAAGUUAAGAAACGUGGAGCUUGAUCAGUACCUAGGUGGGUGACCGUCUGGGAAUAUCAGGUGCUGUAAG